rnacentral:misc_RNA from 1 species
GAUGAAGAACGUAGCGAAAUGCGAUAAGUAGUGUGAAUUGCAGAAUUCCGUGAAUCAUCGAAUCUUUGAACGCACAUUGCGCCUUCUGGUAUUCCGGAAGGCAUGCCUGUUCGAGAGUCAUUAACAACCGUUUCGAUCCCUCUCUUUCAGAAAUUACAAAGAGGAAAAGGGUUUGGUUAUGGUGGAGGAGGGAAAGGGAGCGUUUAGCCUGUAAAAAAAGAGGCUGUGUUCCGCCUCCCCCCCACAAUUGUACCGGCGGUCGUGUGCGCCCACGCAUCGAGGUGUUGUAAAAGCUGCCACGGCACUUUUCACCUGUGCAGUGCGAGAUUGGCCAGCCGGUGUAAAAACCCCUCCAAACAAUCAAAGGUUGACCUCGGAUCAGGUAGGGAUACCCGCUGAACUUAAGCAUAUCAAUAAGCGGAGGA